CCGCUAUAUCCUACUUUCCCUCUCAACUCAUUGUCUGCAACAUGAUCUUCAAAGAAAAAAAAAAACAAACCCUUGAUCUACUCUCAAUCUCUCAAUUACACACCUUUCCACAAGCCCAAACACCCCUCUCGAUCACCCGUCCCCCUCGACAGAAGGCCGGCCGGCUGCCGGUGGUUCGGUGGCUUGGUUAACCGACAAGACACCCCCUUCCUCUCCGAUUAAACCUGCUAAAUCACACACCUGGUUAGGGUGUGACUCGGGGAGAGAGAAUCGGAGAUCGGAGGUCGGAGGAGGGUGGCGCACAGCGGCGCGACAUCAGGGAAGCGAGUGAAAGAGAGGGGAACCGAGGGAGAGAAAGAGGCGUCUGCAUUGAUGAGGUGCCGCUGCUGUCGGUGAUAGUGAUGAUGUGACGAUGAAACGGUGGGAGAUUCUGGUGGGUUUGUGGCGGCGUGAUGAUGACGACGGAGAUGGUGGUUCUUGCGACGAAGGGUGAAGCCAGGCAUCCAUCUCCACCCGACAAGAACUCCAGUGAGUUCUUUUAUUUAUUUUAAUUGUUAUUUUUUUUCUUUCUUUCCGUUCACCUCCGAGUAACAACAUAACGACUGGUGUUCGUUUUUUUUUUAUUAUUGGCCGAUGAUGAUGAUGACGUUGCUGAGUGAUAACCGAUGAGAUGAUGAAGACGGUGGUGUGCGACAGUGGUGGUGUUGUGAAUAUUCAGGUUCAGUCCGCAAAAGUCAUAUUUGGUUUGGUUCAACUCGGUUUGACUCGGUCAAACCGAGUCAACUCAGUCAAAGGCGGUCAAAGGAAGUCAACUCGGGUCAGACGUGGUUCGGGUUUCACAACGGGUCAACAAGUCAAAAGUUGUGGUCAAAAUCAGAUUUCGGUUCGGUCAACAUUCGGGCUUCGAUUCCGGUUCAGAUUCGGUCGAACGGGCUCAGGUCAAAGGAUGGUCAAACGUGCUCAGCAGUCAAAGCCCGGUCAACUCACGCGACCCGGAAUACUAUAGUUGCAUGCUAACGAGUUCACGUCUUGGAGCAACAUUACGGAAAUCACACUUUAGCUAGCUUUGCACAAGGACAUCAAGGUUGCAUUUUCAAAACUAUGGAACGGUUGGAAUAGGAGAAC